GAUGAACGCUGGCGGCGUGCCUAACACAUGCAAGUCGAGCGAUUCUCUUCGGAGAAGAGCGGCGGACGGGUGAGUAACGCGUGGGUAACCUGCCCUGUACACACGGAUAACAUACCGAAAGGUAUGCUAAUACGAGAUAAUAUGCUUUUAUCGCAUGGUAGAAGUAUCAAAGCUUUUGCGGUACAGGAUGGACCCGCGUCUGAUUAGCUAGUUGGUAAGGUAACGGCUUACCAAGGCGACGAUCAGUAGCCGACCUGAGAGGGUGAUCGGCCGCAUUGGAACUGAGACACGGUCCAAACUCCUACGGGAGGCAGCAGUGGGGAAUAUUGCACAAUGGGCGAAAGCCUGAUGCAGCAACGCCGCGUGAGCGAUGAAGGCCUUCGGGUCGUAAAGCUCUGUCCUCAAGGAAGAUAAUGACGGUACUUG
rnacentral:rRNA from 1 species